GCAAACUUGAUACCUGCCUGAUCUAGGUAUCAAAUUUAUGCUCAAGUCAGCGUGAGUCACCAUAUUUACUGUGCAGUACAGGUGUGCCAGUUACUGCACACUAAAUGUGCACAUGUAGACAUGCCCAACGUAUAUGUACGUGUGUUCACUUCAGUACUGCAGGACACACACAGGUAGGCAUCAUACAUGUCUCAUCACAUAUGACAUACAUACAUCCUUCCCUCUUUAUAUGUAGACAUAUUAGCUCAUAUCUCCACAUGUAAGUUUACUCCUGUCCACAUGUUCCCCAAACAAAGGCACUCCUUUUAUGUCCACACAUAUGCCUUCUGUAUCUUCAUGAGUAUUACUUAUCUUACACAGACAUACACACACAAGCUUGCAACAUGCACACCUACAUCUUCCUUUGCUCUCCCCAUGUCAUACACAAAUACCACCCUCACAACCUACCUACCAUUAAAUACAAUCUCUUUCUCUUUAAAGAUACACAAGCCUCUGUCGGCACACAUCCUAAUCAGCAUGCAUUCAUACAUGUGCACACUCAUGCCCUGGAUGUAUUGGUUGAGCUCUAGGUAUUGAGAGGUAAUCCUCUCGUGCAGAGAGACGGGCGAAUGGAAUAAUUAAUUUUCCAAAGAGCAUGAAUAUCAGGCAAAGCCAGCCACCCGGAUAUGGUGGAACGUUUCCAGCCAAUAUCCGUGCAAUCCAGAUAUUUGGAUUCACCCGUCUCUGGCAUUUGCUCUCAGCAAUGCUGAUGGCAGCAAAGGUGAACUAGCAGUGGUGAUCAGGAGAGCUUGUAGCUCUGUCUGUCUGGCCUGAUGACAGGCAGCUUCUGAGCUACUGUGUUUGCUAAACACCAGCCUCUCCUCCCUGCUACCAAAGGAAAGCCCCAGACCCUACCCUAUGGCAGGAGGUGAUGUGAGCAGAGAUUGUCUCCAAGUGCAAUGGAUCCAAAAGGCAGCAUUUAGUCAGCACCAUUUUGUCCUAAAAGUAGCAGCUCUUCUGAAUUCUGAAUCGACCAGCCCAGAACUGGGCACCUGGUUAGUCACUGAUACUAAUCUUUUCUCUGCUCCACAGCUCCCUCCAAACACUGGGCCUGAGUCUAAUUGUAAUCUACCAUACUAAGGGUUUAGAAGGCAUAAAGAUAGAAAUUGCCCAAGUGAUAUUUUAAUGGGGGUAUUGACAGACUAGCCACUGAAGACAGAGGAUGUCAUAUGCCCAAGAAGGGAAGAACCGAAAAACAGAGGUCUUUUAGUCACCUUUUAAAAUAAAGUUGCUUUAGCAGCGUUCACACACUUCCUGCAUUUGCAGCCUGUGGAUAUGCUAGCAAUUAAGCUUACUGUGACAAAUAUUUGUACAAACAGCUAAUACCGAAUAUUUUCAGAAAGCCACAUUGAAAAUUAUAAUGGAAAAUAAACAUCACCUCAAAAACCAAAGUCCAAGAGUUCCCAUCACCCAGUCAAGUGAUAGAAACCUAUCAUAUGACCCUACAUGUCCAAUCAAAACAACUCAACAUUUGAAUAUCAAAUCCUUUCAAUGAACUAGUCACGCUGAACUCACGCAGCUCAAGAAUCAUUUGCAGAAAUAAGAGCAAAUGGAAAAAAACCAGAGCUGGCCACAGGAAUUCAUAAACGCAAACAGAGGAAAAUCCAGAACACAUUUCCUCAUGGUGAAUUAUUGUUCUAGGCCUACAGAGAGAGGGAUUGGUUCAUUAUUCUCCAGAUCUGAAUUCUGCUACCAACUUCCUGUGUGACUUUCAGCAAGUUACUUUGGGUCAGAUUCUAUUCCACCAGCCCUGUAAUUGUGGAGGGAACAAGUGGGACACCAGCCCCAGGUAUCAGCUUAGAGGUGGAAGGGGACCAGUAUGGCCCACCCUCUCCAAAAGCCAUUGCCAUGGCAGGUGCAGUGCAGCCCUGCACUUUCUGACCAUAGAAGCUGGGCAGAUGCAGCCCCAAGCCUAGUAGUGUAUCUAGGGGCAAGGGUAGGCAAGCAGAAUGACACCCCACUGCCCAACUGAGGCUUUGCCAUGGGAGGCCCCUGGGGAGACCAUGCCACUGCCUGUCCCUCAGCUGUAGCAGCCACAAGAGCAGCAGCUGCUGCCUGAGUGAGGAGAGCAGAAGCAAGUAAGACAUUGUUCCUUCUUUCCCUCCCCCCAGCCCUGCUCUCCAGUGGUCAGUAUAAUUCCCCACCGUCAGCUGUGCUCCAGGCACUGAAAGAGCUUGCUGUGCCUCUGUAUUCUACCUAUUAGGAGGGUAAGUGGACUUACAGUAAGUGCCUAAGUGUGAUUCUACACCUUCUUGCUUGAGUUCCUAAAAAACAGUUAAUGUGAAAGGAGGGUGGCUACUCCUCACUGCUUUUUUGUGACUCAAUCAGGAUAAGACGACAGAGAGAAACAAAGGUAUUGGAUUUUCAGAGCCUCGAGCACAGUAGAAUAGAACCAGACCUAGACACCAGAGUCCAGUUAGAUGCCUAAGAAGUGGAAUAGAAUCUGGCUCUCCGUCUUUUUGUGCCUCCGUUCUGCAUCUGUAAAUGGGCCCAGGAUACUUAUUAUGUGUGCUUAGACUGUCAGCUUUCCAGGACUGAGGUUUUCCAUUGCUAUUCCCACCUUAGGCCCUCUGGCUGUCAUCAUAAUGCUACUAUUAAUAAAUAACUUAGUGUAGGUGCAGAAGUCUUUAUUCCUCCUUCUGUGUGAGUUUGUUUGCAAUGGCAUGAGUUAAUAGGCAUAUAUUUAUUUGAUUCUAUGUACCUACUGUGGUUACCACGCAAGGUUUAUGAGUAAACUUUGUAAAUAAUACCCCAUCUGUGCAUCUUACUUGCUUGUGCCCUGAAGAUUCUCACCUAAUCACAGGACUCCAGGAGCUGGGACUUUAAGAAAAAAAUCCUAAUAUUAAAAAAGAUGGCAAAUACUGAAUUAAGGAUUGAAUUCCCAAAGACUUUUAAUGGGAUGUGGGAGUCUAACUGCCCUUUGUUCCUUUAAAAAAAGAGGAUAACAUCUUCCCUCCUUUUUUCUUGCUUUCCUUUAAAAUAAACUAGGAAAUAAGUAGUAGGGAAAGAUCAGGAAAGGCAACAUUUACUUAAGUCAGAGUCAUGAAAUGCAAGAAUGAAGGUCUCAAUUGUUAACUCUGGGAUGCUGCAUGUGUCCUAUUUUUAUCUCAUAGUUUUGUUACUCAUAAUAGCUUAAUACAUUACUAUUUACAUUUUUAGACACCAGAGAAAUGAGAGAAAGGAUAAUUUUGCAGCUGAGUCAUGGUCUUGGCCUACAACCUAUUGGGAAAUUCUCAGACAAGUAUAGACAUGAUGCAGACAAAUUCAUAGUAAUGCAGUGAAUUCAAAGCCAGUCAAACACAUGAAGAGCAACACCAACUCAUGCAGCCAUUCAAACAGACAUAACAAUGAGAAAGUGUUACAGCAAUGGGCUAGAAUUCAGGAGAUCUGUCUUCUGUUCAAACCUGAUACCAGCUUCUUGUGGGACCUUGCUGAAGGCACCCAGAUACACUCACCUAGGAGGCAGAACUGCCACCCACCGUCCCAGCACCUAUCUCAAAACUCCAAAGCCAGGCCAUCUCCACCCCUCCCGCCACCCCUCCACUCCUGCCUAAUGAAUUACUUAUGGAACAGUUUGGACAAGAAGAAGACACAGAGACUGGACUCAGAGCAGCUCCCUACCCUCCUGGACAGUCCUGUCUCAUACAUCUCUGAGGGUGUUGAGGAAUGCAGCCAGUAGCACAAGAGGCAGUGAUUGAGAUCUCUCCCUCAUGAAAGCAAACAACAAAAAUCUAAAAACUAGCAUUUCCCCCCUGAAAACUGGUAAAAAGUGGGAAAAAUAAUCACUUUCUGGACACAAAAUAAGAAUGUUUUAGUUCAAAGCAGAAACUUCCUGCAAAAUAAUUAUUUAAAUUAAAAAAAAUAUAUAUUUUAAGAAGUCAUGGACUAUUUUCACCAGUCUUACAUAGAAAUGAUUCACUAAAAGGUCAGAUCCUCUACCUAACCCAAGCACCUAAACACACUUGGCUGGGAGUUGGAGAUGUGUGGAGACUUCUGUAAGGAAGCACUUCAACUUCUUGUUUGAAACAUCCCCACAUGCUAUGCUGAAGUGAACCAGAAGGGCUAUAAAGUGAGAGGUACUAACUAUACUCUGUACCCUGCCCCUUUAUGCACUGGACUUUCUGUGCCAUGCAGUCUUUUCCUAAAAGUGGGAUGAAAUCUGAGCUUUUUGCAAGAACUUUGGGAUUUUCAGACUAACAAAGUGAUAGGGUGCAGUCAGAUGAGGUUUACUAAUGUGAUCAGUAUGACAGCAGGGCAAAAAGUAGCAGACAUAUUAUGCAAACAGAAGUAACUUUGCCCAAUCCCAGGGAGAACGGCCCCUGAAAGAGUCAGAUGUAAAACUCUAGUGAUGUAAAUUACAGUGAUUUAGGUGUCGUCUGUCCAUAACCAUACUGGAACAUUUGCCUAAUGUAUUUAUUACCUGCUUACUUGCCACCUAGUGACAAGGCAUGAUGCUUGUUAUGCAGUGUGGGAGUUAUUUUGUGAUAGGCAAAGGGCUGUUUUUCUUGAUACUGGUGUAAUUGAGAUUGGUGUAGAAACCCAACGUAAAUUAUACUGAAGAAUGCAAAUAUCUUCUUGGAAUUUCCAAUUUAAUGUUAUGACACCUACCAAUGCAAGAAUGAAACAAUUAUUGUCCCAUAGGUACUGUGCAAACAACACAAACCUAACGGCACAUGAAGAAAAAACUGAAAGCUGAUGGCAACAUAAAGAUUCAUUUAACAAUGCCACAUAGCAUUUUGAAAGAUAUUAGCCCAAUGGUAGUAGCCAAUAGUGGUCUAGGGACUCACUGGCCCUAAACCUUCUCAAUAUCACUUAACAUUGCAAUAUCAGUCACUGGGCACAUCUACAUGUGCACUUUAAUGUGCAGCUGUCUAUUCUACUGUGCAUUAAAGUGUCACAUCAAAAACAGUGCUAAUACACAGUAGAAAUAGGCUACUGCAUAUUAAGCAUCUCUAAAAAGGCAUGCACUUUUGCUAUUGCACAUUAGGGCAGCCUAAUGCACAUUUAUGUGGUAUCUCAUAUUAGAGGUACUAAAUUUAACAUGCAGUAGCAAAAGCACAUUAAUGCACAUAUAGAUGCAUGCAGUUAUACUCUCAUUGGACUUCUACCAUCACCAUGAUAUCAGAACAUCUUCAAGAUGUGUAUUAAGCAACAUGAUAAAUAUCUGUCACUGGUAGUUAUUUCCAUUUGAUUUCUUUCCACUUGAUUCUUGCAUGUGGAUUGGUAAUUAUGUAUAUUAUUUUAAAAUUAUUGCAUUAUAAGUUAAUGGUGUGAUAUUAAUGUGAGAAAGCAGGUUGAAAAAGGAUGGCUUGUAUUUGGAGUGAAAGGUAGGGUUGUUUUUAAUUAUUCUGAGUUCCUAUGAGUGUUUGUUCCACAGUCUGAAAAUAGCUUCCAAGGGUUUGUCAGUCGUGGAUCUCAGGGAGUAUAGGGAUGAGCAUGUCCCACCCACAGCCAGCGCAUCUAAGUCCACUGAAGCACUCCAGAGCCAGGAGUUUGCCAGUGAAGCUGCUCCAGGUUUAUCCCCAGCAGCCACUCUUCAACCUGACAGAGACCAAGAGCUUGAGAACAGGUGCUGGGGAUGAGUCCAGAGCAUUCCCAUGGAAGAACUUCUGGCUCUGAAGUUGACUUGGCUGAAUAAAGAACAGUCCCCCCCCCAUCCUCCAUGUGGCAUGGGAAAACCAUUUCCUGCCAAGGUCCAAUCAUGAUUCAGUUCUGUGUAAUGUUAUUAUGAUUACAAUAAUAAUGAAUUCUAUUGCAGCAGCCCACAGGACAACCAGUCAUGGACCCAUGGACCAGUCAAUGAGUAAGCUGCUGAACAAAGAGCUGAUCCCCUAAUCCAAAGUCUUACAGUUUAAGAAAAAAGGUAACAGACUGGUGCAGAUGUGCAUAAAAAGCAAAACGGGGUCAUCACUCAGCCAGGUGAUGAACAGUGGCUUCAGCACAAAAACAGAAUGACAUUUUCAGACCAGAGGACUACCAACUCUCUUUCAUUUCUUAUACGGUAACUGCCAUGUACUGAGGAAAUUCUCUCCAAAUGCCUAAGACUUUGGAACAAGCAAAAGAGGAGACUGUUUCUCAACUGGAGGAAAUGGCCCAUGUGCCCUCUAGUGGAGAAAACACAUUUUGCAGCUUUAAAAGCCAAAUGGAAUGCUGGAAGUGGCCAUAUUUGUAGGCCGAAGGAGGAGGAAACUUAAUUCUUUGACAGCUUGAUUUUCCAGCAGUGUGUUCAGGUGAGCGCGUCUGUGCACAAAUAUGUGUUUGUCAAGUGAAAACUGGGAUUUCAGAACUUCAAAAGCAAGGGACGUCUCCAGCGCCCUUCUCCUGCAGCUUCAGACAGACAUGGCGGCCUCCAGCAGAAGUUUAGUAAAGGUUUGGGCGUGUCGGUUUGGCUGGAAAAGGAAUCCCUAGGCAUCCCUUCUUCUGGAAUAUUCAACUAACCGUGCAAACCUGGGACAUAUGGACAUCCUCAACACCUACUGACUAAACACCUUGCAGGAUUGGGCCCAACGAUUCCAAAGGUUUUAGAAAUGAUGCGUUCCAAUCAUUUCCCCCACAGGCAACCAUGUUGUGUUUAGACCACUAAAGGUUCUUUGAAUGGACUUGAGAUGCUUUGAGGCACUUAAAGGUGUGGCAUUAAAAAUGGCAAAAGGCAGGAAACAAAGACGGUUGGUUUGGUACUUCAAGUCAGCUCUAUUUCACAACUUUGGUAUAGUCAGAUUGGGAGACUGUAUGAGCUCCUGCAAGAUAUAGAUGCUAGCUGACAAGAUGACCUCAGAGCAGUGAAAUAGUUUCCCCUACCAAACUACCAGUUAGAUAUGAACAGUAGUGAUUAUUUACAAGUCUAACUGCUUGGAAAGUAGAUAUACUGAAAAAUAUCAUUUCUGCUUUUCUCUGAUGCCUCAGACCAUUUCUGCUCAUUAAGUUGUUAUGCAGACCACUUCAGUUAAGCACCAACAAAACCUUUCUAUAAGCUUACUGUGUUUCCUGUGUAAGACCCACCAUAUGGAAAAAAAACCCCAACCCUCUUUAAAAAGUUUCCAAGGUAAGGUUAUCUAGAUUGGUAUUUAACUCCUGCCUGCAACGCCAGGUGUUGUAGUUACUAUAGGCCCAACUGUAUAAAUGAAGAGAAAAAUCAUUGUAUAAACCCAGGGUAGAUAGAUUUUCUGCCUGAUGCAGGUGAGGUGGUAGCAUGUGUUUGAUAAAUAUACUUUAUCACAUGGGGGGUAUGUGUGGGGGGGUACUUCACAUGUUAUAAGUAAGUAUAAGGUAUAAAAGAGUUCAGUAGAGGUUUGGACAUAGUGUGAUGUAAAGUUUCUCUCCCUUAACCAGUAAGGACAUUUGUCCAAAUCUCCCUUUUCUGUCAACUGAGUUAUAAUGAAGAGCUAGCUGCUUCCAGUGUCAGGGCAUGGCUGCAUUUCACUGGUGGGUUAUGUAAACUCACGUCCAUCUACAGAGAUGACUAAGUUGUGUUUGCCUUGAUCAAGAACCUUGUCUCACUGACUUCAGUAAGAAGGUGAGCAAAAUCUGUCUCAUCCUCUCACUCGUGGCAAACCACUAUGAUACCCAUGAAAAGUGCCGACACUAUGCACAUCCAUUCCAAGUAGGCUCAUAAUCUGAACUAUAUAAAGCCAUUCCCUCUCUUAUAUCACAUACUUAAGGGUGAUGUUUUGUUUCAUCUUUCCUAGACUGCAAGUUCCUGCGUAAAAUAACAGCAAUCAUUUAAGCCACCCAAUAUUAUUUACAUGGACGGCCUAAGGGAGUGGGUGGGUUAUGUUGUCUCAGAUCAUGAUGGACACAUUCACCUCUUCCUCCUCUCUCUAUUCCACUUCAUUUUUCCUUUUAUUCCUUUCUUUCUCAGUUUGCCACCUAUAACUUCUCCCUAUGCCUUUCCACUAUCACUUCCCUCCUCCCUCCCUGUAGCUUUCUUCAUCAGCUUUACUACACUGCUUAAGCCAGAAACUCAUUAAUAUAUUACAGAGGAUUUAUCAUCAAUCCAAACACUCUCAUUAGUCAAGUAACUAAGGGCUCAGGAGAACAAAGAUGUUCACUUUCACCCUGGCUCCAAAAAAGCAUUUUUAAUGUGGUUAAGAGAAAGAUACACCACUAAGCUCCUGAGAUAUCACUCAUUCUAGAUACCAGCACUGAACUUUAGAGCAGAUAGGAAAAAGGGGAUAGAGGAAUAUUUAUGACAUUUUGUUCAUUAUUGUUUUGUUUUGUCAUCAGUGUUUGUUCAUUGCUAUAUUUGAUCAAAAUGAAAAAGAAAAAAUGUGAAAAUAUUAUUUAAACAUUUCCCCUUUUAAAAAAUCAACCUUAGGAAACAUCAACUCCCUUUUUCACAGAAAUUUAAAAAUUUUGAUAAAAAAGAUUUGUCCAACUACACAACAGAUAAUCCAAUAAUAUGAAAGGAAAAGAAGCACUUUUCCUAUCUAAAGUAAAUUUUUCUGGCGUCAGUUGAUAGCAUCUUUCCUCAUCACAGACACACGUGCACACAUACACACACCACACUAAUAGAAAAUAAUUAAGGUUGUGAAGUCAACAACUCAAAAGUCAGGAACCUCCAGAAUUAAGGUUUGCUGUGCAACUUCAAUCUUCCCCCCUGCUGCAUCUGCAUUAUGAUACAGUCUUUAAUUACAUGAUCUCAUACUAUUUUUUCCACAGGAUCCCAGCCUAAUUUAGUGCACAAGCUGGAUAGUGCUCACAUAAUGAGAAGCUUAUUCACUAUUUUGUUUUCUCCACAUUGUUCAAUCAGUGUCCGCCAGCCUUCUUUAUACCACACCGUUCAAAUCAUGCACUGAAAUACAAAGUUAUUAAUUUCCUUAUGGGCUUUCCAAAGGUGUUGAUGAUUACAGUAUUUGAAUGCUUUAUAGAUAUGAAUCAGUUCAUUUUCAAAACAUGUCUAUGAAAUGAUGGGGCAUUAUUAUCCCAAUUUUACAGGUACGUAGACACGGAGAAAUAAAGGUACUGGUAAUUAAUUUUGAGUGACUAAUUUGAGUCACCUGGGAUUGUUGGGCUUUUUGGUUUUUUGGUUUUUGCUUUGUGUUUGUUUCUGGGUUGUUGGGUUUUUUUGGUUUUAAGAAUAUUUAGGACCAUGGGGUAUUUCAUUUGUUCAAAGCACAGGUCCUACUGAGUUCAGUUACUACUGUAAAACCUCAACACUUCUGCAAAUCAUAGUCCAAGAUGUCAAAUUGGGCACCCAGAAAUAAGGAACACAUAGUUAGUGACCCCUGGGGAAAAGCAAUUUGCCUGGAAUAUCAUAUGUACUCUAAGUCCACGUAGGGUUAGAAUACAGUCUCCAGGACAGAAUUCAGCUGCCAUAAUCACAAUACUAUUUCUCCUCAUCCUGUAAUUCCCUGCCUCAUUCAUUUCCAACUUUUCCAACAAAUGAGGCAGGAGCACUAUAUAAAAUAGCCCCCUUCACUACUCAACUGUAUUUCAGCCCUAGAAUGGGACCGUCCUGUGCACUGAAUGAGGUAGUGGAACUUCAGAACAAGUUGUAUGUGACCAUGUAAUUGAGGACUGUAUCAUAACAUGGGGUCCAGCAUGGGUUCCACAGACGCUUCUGAUUCUGACAUUUUCUUAACUUUUGAGCGCUUAACCUUAAUAAUGUCAGGUACAAUAUUAACCCUGUUCUGUUAACAUACUUAAGCAGUGUAGGCUUGUGGAUCUGACAAAAACAGAGGAGCAUAGGAAUCAUACUGACCCCCACUUGGGUCAUCAUCAGGGUUGGAACCUGUAGAUCCAUCUCCCAGACCUCUGCCACUUGAGUGAUCAGAGUAACCAAUAGCGGCAUAUACAAAAUGACAUUCGAUACUGGUUGUCAUCCUAUAUGUGCAUGGGCAUGAGGCUUUCAAGUUAUUUGCCAAUCGCAGAGGAGUUCUGACACUUGAGAAGUAUGGGUUCCAUUUCAGGUCUGAAUGGUGAAUGGGUUGUAGUGGGUGCAGACUCUUCUGCACACUCUAUCCAAACAUGACCCCUUUUGCCCCUUUCCCUCCAACCUGUUUCUGUCUCACUCUUUACUAUUCUCUUACCCAGGCCCUAGUCCCAUUCUCCUAAUCUACCAAGUUCCAUUAACAGUUCAUUUCUCAAGGUUAUUAACCCAGUCCUAGCUUCCUUGCCAAGCCAGUCCUAGUCACUACCUACAUUAGAGUAAAUGCUACUACACUAUGGGAAAGCCUGGAGCAGGUCCUAUGUAGACAGCCUUGAAAUCUCUCUCAGAACAGAUAUGGUCUAGAAGUCCCAAUUACAGAUAUAUUCCAACACAGUUAUCUCAUUCAUUUUAACCUGAUUUCAUUACUUUUUGUCUAUAUCACUUCAAGUAUUUCUUCUGAGCUAGGGAGUAUUUUUCCAGAGCAAGAAUUCUUCAGUUUUCAGUACUGCAAAAAACUGAGAGAAACAGCUUAUAAGAGACCACUUCCUCUUCCAGAUUUUAACACCACUCUACAGAACACCAGGACUGGGACAUUUCCUACAAUGAUUGUUCACCCUUUGGCCAUGCUUUGAGAAACACAGUGCUGUUUUAUGAAUGCAGCCAUUUUAAGGUGUUUCUGUAUAUGUUUCUGUCUCUUACAACAUCCAUUGACUUUAUAAAAUUAGAAACAUAGCGUGGUUCUAUGGGUUAGAGUGUGCUGUUCAACAGUCUGUUCCUGAGAACGAUUCCAGGAAGCGUAGAGGAAUUACACAAAGGGCCGUUCAGCACCAUGGACAGGGAACACAUUCUCUACCCUUGUUAGGCCAGUAGUGAGAAUAAUGAAUAUACUGCAAAGUAAUGAAAUAGCAACGGGCCAAAUCUCAGCCCCUUCAGCCACUUUGAUACUGUCCUUCUUUAUGCAUGUUUUCACUCUAGUCAGCUGCAUUUGUCUGGAUCAGGACACAGAGUUUAUCACUCUAUGAGCAAGGUUUAUCAAAAAUGAAUCUAAAUAGUAGCCAUUUACAUUAUGAUGGCUGUAGACUCUCACUAUCCAGUGUCAUAUUUUCCAUGAUUAGGAGUAGGUUCAUAGAUCUAACAUACCUUGUACAGUGUUGGAUACAGGCCAGAUGCAAAACCAGAAGGAGCUUGUUUUCCAGAUCUUCUUUAAAUUCAGCCUAGUAUGAUGGGUUCCUUGCAGGAUUAAGUGAUCUAAACAGACUUUAUUAUUUUGGGAUUGAAAUGUAGAAAGAAAGCCACUGAUUGUGAAAAUCAUUACCACUGAUUCAGGAUUUGAAUUCCUAAAUCCCAGCCUAACUUGAUGCUGAUACUGGAACCAAAUCUAUUAAACAAAACUGUUCCAUUUAUGUCUUAUCUAUAGUAAAACUUCAUAUCUUGAUGUUGCUGAAAGAAAAUAAUACUAGCAUAAUCUCCUGUCCAGUGUAAAUGGCCAUUGAUUGUUACCUAGACUAGUUAGCUGCCCAGCCAAUUGCUAACUACCUCACCAACCAGAAAACCAACUUGUUUCUUAGAUGAUGUGGCAAUUGUACUUUAUGUUUUCAAAGUCCCCUUAACAAGCAUGCAUUAAUCCAUAUCCCCAUGGAGCUAUGAAUUGUUAUCUUCACUUUACAGUUGGGGAAACCAAGAUAGAGAGAUUUGCCCAAGGCUACAAAGUAAGUCAGUGGCAGAGCUAGAACUGGAGAGAGAAGGGGGGAGUUCCUGACUACCAGCCCUGUAUAUAUUUCUCAAGCCUCUAAAGUCUGUAAGUAAGUUUAUUAUCCAUCCAAUGAAGCAACCAUCAACCACAAAUCAGCUAAACCAUCAGUUAGGCUAAUGAUUAGCCAAUUAAUGAAUGGCUAUCCAAAGCAAGCUUGUUCACUAUAAUCAUUCAGUGUUUCAUUUAGCAUCCCUUAUCCCAGAAAAAAAUCUUUUUUUGCCUUCUGUGGGCAUUUUAUCAGAGAAAGAAAUGGAAGAUUAGGGCAUCACUCAGCCAACUGGCCAAUGACUAACUACCCUUGAUAACUUAUACGGUGCAGACAGAAGUGACAAUUUUUACCUGAUCUGGCUCCAGAAAGGAGACUACAGCCAUGACCAAACAGAAGAGCAUGGAUGCAGAGUGCUUUAAAAGGGUCUGAUCCCAUGAAAAUCUGAAACCUCAUUGUAUGAGGGUUCAGACAAACACCCUCAAAAACAGAGCACGUUCUAUAACUUGUGUCUG